rnacentral:tRNA from 1 species
AUAGCUGGGAUAGCUCAGUUGGUAGAGCAGAGGACU